GUUAUGGGCAAACCCUAAGUUAGUAAUGUAGUUAAACAAGGCAUCAAACCACACGUAAAUCGUUUGCUUGUUGUCAAAGGGUACGGGAAUUCCCCAAGUCACGUUUUGCCGUGUUAAAGCUAAAUCAUUUAAACCCCCAUCCAAGAAGUUGUUCUUUAACUCAGCGGCUCUGGAUUCAGGGGUAAUGUUGAGCUUGUUUGUCGCAAUCAUUUCCCCAAUCCAGUCCUUACUAUCUUUAAAGGCAAUAAAUAAAGAUGGUUCUUGGACUAGGGUUAACUGGUGACCUAUUUCACACAACAUUGUUUGUUUAUCAUAAGUGAAAUAGUUCUGCUCACACUCGACACAGUAAGCACCCUCCCAGUUACUUUGGUAAAUUAACCCCUUGUCAUAAAGUAGUUGAAAGGCAUGUUGAACUUGGGCUUUAUGACUAAGAUCAGUGGUGCGGAUAAAGUGGUCAAAGU
rnacentral:sRNA from 1 species